CCUACGGGUGGCUGCAGUGGGGAAUAUUGGACAAUGGGCGAAAGCCUGAUCCAGCCAUGCCGCGUGUGUGAAGAAGGCCUUCGGGUUGUAAAGCACUUUCAGUGGGGAAGAAAGCCUUGGGGCUAAUACCCUCGAGGAAGGACAUCACCCACAGAAGAAGCACCGGCUAACUCCGUGCCAGCAGCCGCGGUAAUACGGAGGGUGCGAGCGUUAAUCGGAAUUACUGGGCGUAAAGCGCGCGUAGGCGGUCUGAUAAGCCGGUUGUGAAAGCCCCGGGCUCAACCUGGGAACGGCAUCCGGAACUGUCAGGCUAGAGUGCAGGAGAGGAAGGUAGAAUUCCCGGUGUGGCGGUGAAAUGCGUAGAGAUCGGGAGGAAUACCAGUGGCGAAGGCGGCCUUCUGGACUGACACUGACGCUGAGGUGCGAAAGCGUGGGUAGCAAACAGGAUUAGAUACCCCGGUAGUC
rnacentral:rRNA from 1 species